AGAGUUUGAUCCUGGCUCAGGACGAACGUUGGCGGCGUGCUUAACACAUGCAAGUCGAGCGGUUUGGUGGUGGGUGGUUAGUGGUUAGUCUUUGGGGGUUUUUCGGUGAGUAACGCGUGGAUAAUCUGCCUGUAAGACAGGGAUAACGCCGGGAAACCGGUGCUAAUACCCGAUAACCUCUUUGAAUCGCAUGGUUUGAAGAGAAAAGGUGGCCUCUUUACAAUGCUACCACUGCGUCCCAUUAGCCAGUUGGUGGGGUAAAGGCCUACCAAAGCGACGAUGGGUAGCCGGCCUGAGAGGGUGACCGGCCACACUGGAACUGAGAUACGGUCCAGACUCCUACGGGAGGCAGCACGAAAGCCUGACGGAGCAACGCCGCGUGAGCGAAGAAGGUCUUCGGAUUGUAAAGCUCUGUGAUAUUGGACGAACAAUUUCCCGUAAAUAAUGGGAAGGAAUGACGGUACAAUAAGAGGAAGCCACGGCUAACUACGUGCCAGCAGCCGCGGUAAUACGUAGGUGGCAAACGUUGUCCGGAAUUACUGGGCGUAAAGGGCGAGUAGGUGGUUUAUUAAGUCAGAAGUGAAAACUCCGGGCUCAACUCGGAGACUGCUCCUGAAACUGGUAGACUUGAGUGCAAGAGAGGGAAGUGGAAUUCCUAGUGUAGCGGUGAAAUGCGUAGAUAUUAGGAGGAACACCGGUGGCGAAGGCGGCUAUCUGGACCGAUACUGACGCUGAGACGCGAAAGCGUGGGGAGCAAACAGGAUUAGAUACCCUGGUAGUCCACGCCGUAAACGAUGGGUACUAGGUGUUGCGGGUAUUGACCCCUGCAGUGCCGAAGCUAACGCAUUAAGUACCCCGCCUGGGGAGUACGGUCGCAAGACUAAAACUCAAAGGAAUUGACGGGGGCCCGCACAAGCGGUGGAGCAUGUGGUUUAAUUCGACGCAACGCGAAGAACCUUACCAAGGCUUGACAUCCUGUGACAGCUAUAGAAAUAUAGACUUCUUAGUUUACUAAGACACAGAGACAGGUGGUGCAUGGUUGUCGUCAGCUCGUGUCGUGAGAUGUUGGGUUAAGUCCCGCAACGAGCGCAACCCUUGCCUUUAGUUGCCAGCACAUAAUGGUGGGCACUCUAGGGGGACUGCCGGUGACAAACCGGAGGAAGGUGGGGAUGACGUCAAAUCAUCAUGCCCUUUAUGACCUGGGCUACACACGUACUACAAUGGCCGGUACAAAGGGCAGCAACACAGCGAUGUGAAGCCAAUCCCAUAAAGCCGGUUCUCAGUUCGGAUUGGAGUCUGCAACUCGACCCCAUGAAGUUGGAAUCGCUAGUAAUCGCGGAUCAGCAUGCCGCGGUGAAUAUGUUCCCGGGCCUUGUACACACCGCCCGUCACACCACGAAAGUCUGCAACACCCGAAGCCGAUGUAGCAACCGUAAGGAGCAAGUCGUCGAAGGUGGGGCCGAUGAUUGGGGUGAAGUCGUAACAAGGUAACC
rnacentral:rRNA from 1 species